AGAAUGUGGACACCCCAGAAGAUCACUCUCCCUGGAUUCUGUCCUAGUGGCAUGGGGAAACAUAGGGCACUGCCCAGUGUUGUGAAGUUCCUUUCCCCAACAUUGGAGAUGAAGCUGGACUUUGAGUCUGUGCCUGCAUACUCCUGAGGCUUUUUGGAGUCCCAUGGGUGAUGACAAAAGAGAAAAAUCAUGCAGGAAACAAAC